rnacentral:rRNA from 1 species
GGGGAAUUUUGCGCAAUGGGCGAAAGCCUGACGCAGCAACGCCGCGUGAGUGAUGAAGGCUUUCGGGUCGUAAAGCUCUGUCAAGGGGAAAGAAGUGUAUUGUGGUUAAUACCCGCGAUACUUGACGGUACCCCUAAAGGAAGCACCGGCUAACUCCGUGCCAGCAGCCG